GUCUCUUCGGGGAUGAUUAAACCGGCGCACGGGUGAGUAACACGUGAGUGACCUGCCUUUUAGACUGGAACAACUUACCGAAAGGUGAGCUAAUGCCGGAUGAGUUAUAUAAGUGCAUGUUUAUAUAGGAAAAGUUGGGGAGACCUGACGCUGAAAGAUGGACUCGCGUCCCAUUAGCUAGUUGGUAGGGUAAUGGCCUACCAAGGCGACGAUGGGUAGCCGGCCUGAGAGGGUGGCCGGCCACACUGGGACUGAGACACGGCCCAGACUCCUACGGGAGGCAGCAGUGGGGAAUUUUGCGCAAUGCUCGUAAGAGUGACGCAGCGACGCCGCGUGAAUGACGAAGGCCUUCGGGUCGUAAAGUUCUUUCGACAGGGAAGAAAAUGCCUAUAAGUAACUGUGUAUGUAUUGACGGUACCUGUAUAAGCAGCCCCGGCUAACUCCGUGCCAGCAGCCGCGGUAAUACGGAGGGGGCGAGCGUUGUUCGGAGUGACUGGGCGUAAAGAGCACGUAGGCGGUGUUGUAAGUCAUUAGUCAAAGACUAGAGCUCAACUUUAGUAAGGCUAGUGAUACUAUAAUACUAGAGUAUCAGAGAGGAUUGCAGAAUUCCUGGUGUAGCGGUGAAAUGCGUAGAUAUCAGGAGGAAUACCGUUAGCGAAGGCGGCAAUCUGGCUGGAAACUGACGCUGAGGUGCGAAAGCGUGGGUAGCAAACAGGAUUAGAUACCCUGGUAGUCCACGCUGUAAACGAUGGAUGCUAGGUGUUGGGCUUUUAAGUUCAGUGCCGCAGCAAACGCGAUAAGCAUCCCGCCUG
rnacentral:rRNA from 1 species